AUUCAGACCUAAAUCAAAGAACGUUUCUUUCUAAACCCUAGCCUCCUUCAUAUCGCUCUUCUGGGUCAAUCAUAUUCUCAUCAAACAGUUCAAUAAUCAGAUAUGAUUCCUCUCAAUCAUAGAUAUGAUUCCUUCAACCAACUUGAAUCUGAUUGUUGAUCAUUUUCACUCCAUUUCACAAAGAAGGAAUCAGUUGUUCAUCACCAAAAUCCGUACUCGCAUCAACAAUCAUCAAGCAUGAGCAUAAUCUAAUGUUAAUCAUUGAUUCUUGGUUCCAGUUUUCAUUUUUCGGUAUGAAUCUUCAACUUCUUGAAGAUCUCCUUCCAUGGAUUUUGGCAAAUAUGGACCAUUUAUAGCCCUUGCAAUCCUCAGACUUUCCUCUCUAUGUCCCUUCUAAUUUUACCAUCUUCAUUAUUCAGACGAUAGAUUUGAUUAUUGCAUAUAAACGGACUACACACAAUCCUCAUUAUUGGAUUUUGUCAACAACAGGUAAGAAAUUAUGUUUGUCGUGUUUUGUUUUUUUCAUUGAUUUUAGGGGUUUUAAGAUAUUUGUUGUUACUGUGAUUUGAAGGUUAUUAGGAUUUAUGAAUAUAUUAAAUAGCUGACUACAAGUAUUAUUUGUUAUACUUGUGUUGUUUUAAUAUUAAACUUUUAUGACAUAAGUGGUUACACUUAAAUUUAUUUGUCGUCUUUGCAUUAUGGUUUACUGAAUCUAUAUUCUACAGGCAUACAUUGAUUUGAAUAAGGUGCAUAGUAACAAUGCAUUUGGGAAAACAAGUAGAGGUGUGUGUGAGCUUUCGGGUGUGGAUAUCAUGAUGGGAAUAUUCAUAAAAACAUCUGGUUCAUGUGGUGGUUAUAUAGUAGGAUCCAAGGUUUGUUUCACCUGUCUCCUCUUUAUCUUUUUAUUAUUUAUAUUUUUAUUCUUCAUCUUUAUUUAAUGUACUAUGUAAUUUCAUUUAUAUUUAGAUUAUUUAUAAAGUUGUAUGUCAUCAGUUAUAAUCAAAGGUAUGUUGUAAAGUUCAUUCCUUCUUUGAUUUUUAUUGUUAAUGUAAU